rnacentral:rRNA from 1 species
UACGUAGGGGCCUAGCGUUGUCCGGAUUUAUUGGGCGUAAAGAGCUCGUAGGCGGUUCGGUAAGUCAGGUGUGAAAUCUCCACGCUCAACGUGGAGGCGCCACCUGAAACUGCCGUGACUCGAGUCCGGUAGGGGAGUGUGGAAUUCCUGGUGUAGCGGUGAAAUGCGCAGAUAUCAGGAGGAACACCAGUGGCAAAGGCGGCACUCUGGGCCGACAUUGACGCUGAGGCGCGAAAGCCAGGGGAGCAAACGGG